GGACGAACGCUGGCGGCGUGCUUAACACAUGCAAGUCGAACGGUGAACCUCUUCGGCGGGGAUCAGUGGCGAACGGGUGAGUAACACGUGGGCAACCUGCCCCCGGCUCUGGGAUAACUCCAAGAAAUUGGGGCUAAUACCGGAUGUUCACCGCUUCCCGCAUGGGUGGUGGUGGAAAGGGUUUCCGGCUGGGGAUGGGCCCGCGGCCUAUCAGCUUGUUGGUGGGGUAGUGGCCUACCAAGGCGACGACGGGUAGCCGGCCUGAGAGGGUGACCGGCCACACUGGGACUGAGACACGGCCCAGACUCCUACGGGAGGCAGCAGUGGGGAAUAUUGCGCAAUGGGCGGAAGCCUGACGCAGCGACGCCGCGUGGGGGAUGACGGCCUUCGGGUUGUAAACCUCUUUCAGCAGGGACGAAGCGCAAGUGACGGUACCUGCAGAAGAAGCACCGGCCAACUACGUG
rnacentral:rRNA from 1 species